rnacentral:tRNA from 1 species
GGGGCAGUAGCUCAAUUUGGGAGAGCACUAGCUUUGCAAGCUAGGGGUUGUGGGUUCAAGUCCCAUCUGCUCCA